UACGUAGGGGGCGAGCGUUAUCCGGAUUUAUUGGGUUUAAAGGGUGCGUAGGCGGAUCGUUAAGUCAGUGGUCAAAUUGAGGGGCUCAACCCCUUCCCGCCAUUGAAACUGGCGAUCUUGAGUGGAAGAGAAGUAUGCGGAAUGCGUGGUGUAGCGGUGAAAUGCAUAGAUAUCACGCAGAACCCCGAUUGCGAAGGCAGCAUGCCGGCUUCCUACUGACGCUGAAGCACGAAAGCGUGGGGAGCAAACAGG
rnacentral:rRNA from 1 species